GCGCGGCGGCGGCGUGGGCUCGCAAGGUUCUUCCUCCCUCCCUCCCGCGCCGGGCACUUCCGGGCCGGCCUGGAUCCGCCGCCGGGUUUUGGAAGCCGCCACCGCCGCUUGUGCCAGGCACUGGGCUCUCGGCCGGGCGCGUCCGCAGCACUCGCGACUGGGGAGCGGACGGGGAGUUCCCUCGUCUUGAGGGACCUCCCUUCGACCCAGCAUAAAACUUUCCUUGCCUAAAACGCCCGCUGAUAACGCCUCUUAAAUCGAUAGACGUAGGGUGCGAAAGGCGGCAACCGUUUCUCGGUAUGAUUUCCUUGGGGCUGUACCAGACCAGAAAGCCAAGGUGCAACUUGUACCGAGCCCCUGUUCCGAGCUCAUAACUCUGUGAAGUGCUAAAACAAAAACAAAUAUACAGUCUCCAGGUGAGAAAUAAAAGACAACUCCGGGUAGGCCAAUGAAGUGCCACAGCGGAACGGUUUUCGUGUGGAGGAGAAGAGCCCCAAAUGGAAGUCUCAGGCCUAGGAAGGAAGGGGUCCGCCUAAAGGCGGCUGAGGUUGCUUGCAAAGCGCGGAAGAACAGGUGGCAUCCCAUGACUAAAGGUCGGUGAAUAAUGCUGUAUCUAAGCCAAGGUCUGAAGACAUGAGACUUCCUCAUGGAGUUUAAAGAAGGGUGACAACGAACAGAACACUUCUCAGCACUCGUGAGAAAAACUUGCUCUAGCUGGCAAGAAUAUACUCAUUUAAAGAGUUUUGAGGGACAGUACAGGCACGAAUAUCAUUUAAAGACCCUCCCCCAGUUCCUUUCACUUUUUUUAAACUGCGCAUCGGUCAACUGUUUACCUGCCUCCCCAAGAAAAGGAGAGGUGGAAGAAAAACAUUUAUUAUUUUACUAUGUGUUGAGCACUGUAAGCACAGACUUGCAUGAUCUUUUUAAAUCCUCUCAGCGACUUUACGGUUUCGUGGUAGAAAUGAUUACCAUCUUACAGAUAAAGCAACUGAGGAUCAGAAAUAAUAAGUAACUCAUUCAAGGGUGAAUGGAGUUUGAAUACCGGGAAAGCAGAUCUCCCUCACUUCAAAUUAAUACUCCUUUGUGUUAUUCACGUAUUUAACACACAAAACAUGCGAGGGAUACAACCAGCGCCAAAGAGUAUCAGGAAAAAAGACAUCUGCUUUUAUUUUCCUACAAGUUAUUUCAAAGGAUAAUGAAAGGUGGGUAAAAAAGAUUUUUUCAAG